rnacentral:rRNA from 1 species
CCAGACUCCUACGGGAGGCAGCAGUAGGGAAUUUUGCGCAAUGGGCGAAAGCCUGACGCAGCAACGCCGCGUGAUCGAGACGCCCUUCGGGGUGUCAAGAUCUGUCAGUGGGGACGAAACUUGACGGUACCCAAGGAGGAAGCCCCGGCUAACUACGUGCCAGCAGCCGCGGUAAUACGUAGGGGGCAAGCGUUAUCCGGAAUUAUUGGGCGUAAAGAGUACGUAGGUGGCAACCUAAGCGCAGGGUUUAAGGCAAUGGCUCAACCAUUGUUCGCCCUGCGAACUGGGAUGCUUGAGUGCAGGAGAGGAAAGCGGAAUUCCUAGUGUAGCGGUGAAAUGCGUAGAUAUUAGGAGGAACACCAGUGGCGAAGGCGGCUUUCUGGACUGUAACUGACACUGAGGUACGAAAGCGUGGGGAGCAAACAGGAUUAGAUACCCGCGUAAG